rnacentral:rRNA from 1 species
CGGACGGGUGAGUAACGCGUGAGCAACCUGCCUUGAAGUGGGGGACAACAGUUGGAAACGACUGCUAAUACCGCAUAAUAUAUUUAGAUCGCAUGGUUUAGAUAUCAAAGAUUUAUCGCUUCAAGAUGGGCUCGCGUCUGAUUAGGUAGUUGGCGGGGUAACGGCCCACCAAGCCGACGAUCAGUAGCCGGACUGAGAGGUUGAACGGCCACAUUGGGACUGAGAUACGGCCCAGACUCCUACGGGAGGCAGCAGUGGGGAAUAUUGGGCAAUGGGCGCAAGCCUGACCCAGCAAUGCCGCGUGAAGGAAGAAGGCUUUCGGGUUGUAAACUUCUUUGACAGGGGAAGAGCAGAAGACGGUACCCUGAAAACAAGCCACGGCUAACUACGUGCCAGCAGCCGCGGUAAUACGUAGGUGGCAAGCGUUGUCCGGAUUUACUGGGUGUAAAGGGCGUGUAGCCGGGAAGGCAAGUCAGAUGUGAAAUCUGGAGGCUCAACCUCCAAAUUGCAUUUGAAACUGUUUUUCUUGAGUACUGGAGAGGCAGACGGAAUUCCUUGUGUAGCG